rnacentral:sRNA from 1 species
GAUUUCGUCCGUCGGAAAUAGUCUAUCUUCUUAUAGUGAGAGUAGGUCACACGCGCUGUGACUUCUAGUGAACUUGCCGUUAACACAACGCUAAAGCUGAGAUAUUUCGAUUCAGACACGUGUAAGGUGUAGAUUAAUGGACAGAAAAGGUGUUCAGAGAAAUGGUCCCCUUAAAGGUAAUAACAGGAACGCAUGGAAGAUAUUACGAUGCAUGGAACAGAGUCUCUUCUCUUGUGUCCAUUUUCUAAAUUAUCCACAUAUAUGGCCUGCCUCUCACAUUCACAUACAUAGCCUCUUACGAAGGUUUAUGAAUUUUCCCUACUUUCCCUUUAUUAUUCAAUGUAUAUAUAUCUUCAUCUACAUCUGCAAUACUACAUACGAUACAUG